rnacentral:misc_RNA from 1 species
AGGCGGUGAUGGCACGCCACCAGCACCCACACCCACACCCACACUGCUGCUGUUACGCACACGUCACGCACGUGACUGGACACACGCUUGCAUCAGCCUCCCCUCCUGCGCUUCCCCACACACUCCAUCCGCCUUUCUUUCUCGCGUGCAUUGUGUGUGCGUGGCGGACUCCGCAGGUUUGGACGGAGCACCGUGUAAACUUGAUCUUCCUUUUAUUUUCUGUUUUCAUCUCGCUGGCGCGCGUACGUGCGAGCGCGCGGGCGCGCUCAGAACCCCCCUCACUGCGCUCCUCCGGCUGACGCACAGUCGAGCACUCGCACGCGCCGACGCGGAGAGCCGUCCAGCCAGUGAGCAUAGCCAUCGGGCACCCUGUCCCCAGAAUCCCCAUCCGCAGGACCGGCGCAAUGCGGCCGAGACUGCUGCCGAGUCGGCGGUCUCGCACCGCUCGCUCAGCCCACCGCACGCUUCUCUGUCUAGUCCUCUCUGUCGGCGCCCUUGUCCUGCUCUCCGGGGUGGUCGUGUGGAGGACUAUGCGCGACGGAGGCGAAGGCGCGAAGGUCGGCGGCAAGGCGACGCAGCACCCUUCAACGCCAGGCAACCCUACUGUGUCGCUGGUGCCUGGCGCCGGCGCUGACGGCGACGCUCCGCCGUUGGGCGGCGAUCGAGGGGCAGCUCCGUACACGGAAAGCUUGGAGGAGUUGGUCCGGCUGCUGCGCAUCUACGCCGAGCACCGUGGCGUGCGGGUGAAUCACACGCAUGACGCACUUCUGGCGGGCAUCGCUGCAGCAGCAGGCCUCACGGACAGUGGCGAGAACUCACAGAGAGGUGCGGGAACCAGAGUCGCUGGUCUGCAGCUUCCCGGGGUGGAGCUGCUGCAUGGGCUGUACGGCGACGGCGAUCAGGCAGGUGGUCACCUCUCCGUCAACUGGGUUUUGGAUGAGCCUGAGGCGAUCACGGCGGAGCAGGAGACGUACGUGGAGCGGUACCUGGUCCCCACGCAGGCCGAGGUGGAGCUCACGCCACUGCGCGUCAUCUCAUCUUAUUAUAACAUGCAGGGAAGCCGCAGCCUCCACCGCAUGGCUGCCGAAACGGAGAAGGCGAUGAACGAUGACGGCUACGCGACGUACAUCCAACGCUCGCGUACGUUCUACGACGUCUCUCACGCGGCACGUCGCGGCUACGGGCAGGAGGGCAGCAUCUUCGUUGCCGUUCCUUUCACGCUCACCGAUAUCACGGCUGAAAUGGUGGGCACAAUCCGUCGUCGAGCGUCGGCCGUGCCGACUUCGUCGCAGGCCCAGAAGCCCGCCUCGAACUCGCCGCUGGAGGGAAGGGACGACGGCUUCCAUGAGUUGCGGCUUACAGCCGUGCGUUGCGCCAUGACGGUGGAGUCGCUUUUCCGCCAAGCCCACCGCGGCGUCGCGGUGACAGUCGGGACGAUUGAUGUGGUUACCGUGAGCGGUGUCUCCUCGGCGGCGGAGCUUGAUUUCUCAAAGCCUUCCGACGUGACCUUUCCCCUUCGCGCAGAAGACCGAGCCGGCCUUCCGCACACGCGACGCUACAGCCGAAUCACCUGCGAGCCCCCCGACUUUGCCAGUGGCUGGGACGACGCCAGCUACGGAUUUCGCUGGAAGGACAACCUGCGCCGCCGCCGCGUGGUGGUGCCCCUGACACAGCUCGACGCCGCGUCCGCGGCUCAUGCGGAUCUGCUGCACGGCGAUGGCGCCGCGGCGGCACUGGAGAGGUACUUUGCCUUUCCGUACGUGGGGCACUACGCCACGCUGCAGCUCUAUCGGGGCGAGUCGUACGUGUUCUUCCUGCGCACCGGCUCUCUGGCUCUCCCGAACUGGGACCUGACACUUCGCCUGCUGUACCUGCGCACCCCGACCCGGGAUCGUGCUGUACUGAGUAGCCGUCCGACACCACGCGUGGCAUGGACGGCGCUCGCGGCCUCCGUCGCAAAGAUGUGGGACACGGAACCGUUCCUGCGGCUGUCGUUGGCGACAGCGUCGCGACAGCGCAACGGCGAGGACGCGACAGGCGACGACAUGGACGUCGUCACCACCGCGCCACCUCCCGACAAGAUGGGCAGGCGCCUUUUGGCCGCGCUACCGGCGGAAGUGUCGUCGUGGCUGAUCGCGGCGCGGAAGGAAGCGGAGCUUGUGCUGUGGCUGGUGACGCCGAGCUGGCUGUGGCCCACAAUGGUAGAAACUCUGGCAGAUGGGCGCCAGCUCGCCGCUUCUCCGGAUUCACCGCCACCAGCGACCGCGCCCUCUGCACUGCGUCUGCUGUUCACCAGCGAUGCCGUGAGUGGCGUUCUUGGCAACGGGCUGCCGACUCUGAUGCAGGCGGACUUGAAUACUGUCCAGGUGGACCCUGUGAGGCGCUCUGAAGGUGCCGCUGCCGCGGCAGCGUCCCCGCGUGAGCAACGCGUCGUGAGUCUGCGCGGUGGCAAGAGCCCUACGACGAACAGCACGCCACAGGCUGUCCUGUCUGCCAGCCUCACAGCCUCUGAGGUAUACGAGCUGCUGUUCCUGGCCGAGAAGCGGCCGCCGAUGCCGGAGCAGCCGGUCGCCCACAUGCCGCAAUCAGAGCCGAUGAUUAAGUGGGUGCCCUCCAGCGACUCAGGCGCUGCUGCCGAGCGACUCUGUGGGGAGGCGACGUCCGAGGCACCGUACUACUCGGCUGCCGACAAGGCACUGCUGAAGCGCUCCUUCGAGUACUGUUGGCUGAAGAGGCACAGGAGAGCCGUGCGGCAGCAGCUGAACCGCCUCGUACACGCCACCAUGGCAGCGACAGUGCUGAAGGCGACCCCGGGCACGAAGGCGUCUGCCGCCGCCGCCCCGGCGGGGGCAGCGAAGUGCAGCACAAAGAGGGGCUUUGUGGAGGCGGAGGUGGUGCCGCGCUCGAGCGUGUGCUUGGCGGACAUGCGCUACCUGGAGCCGAUGGAGGGGACGUGGCUCACGGGUGCCGGCGGAGGCACGUUGGGCAGUGGUGACAGCGCCCACCAAGAAUGGCACGCGACCGAUCCGCGCUCGCUACGAGAAGAGGAUGCCUGGUUUACGUCCCCGGCGAACGUGGGCAAGGUUCACGGGGUGGCGACUGCUUCGUUGCUUGCCGCGCAAACCGCUCAUGGCACCGAAGAGCCGCAGCUGAACUCGCCGCGGUCACCGAAGGACGCGGCGUCGACCCCCGUUGAGCCGACGCCGUACGUGCUCCAGGCUGUUGCGUCGUCCGAUCUCCUGUUCGGCCCUGCGGAGGCCUUCUUCGAGUUCGAUACGGAGCACCAGCUGCGUACUGGAGCGCGCAGCCUCUCGGAGCAGCUCGCAGAGCGCCGCCUCCAUCGCCAAGGGCAGGCAGCGACGGCUGCGCACGCACGUGUGCCCGAGGCCGUCGAACUUGAUCCCUCUCUGCAGUUUAUGGACAGCGACCUCGAGGAUGUGUACAUGACGCAAGCGCUCUGGACGCGAGGGUGGAACAUCUUUGGGCUGACGGAGCCGGUGGCCGUAGGCACCGGCGAGGAGGAGCUGUCCAGCUCCCCGCCUGCGACAGCGCCGACGUCAUCUUCCGCGAGAGAUGAUGGACCAUGCACAGUCGACGAGGCGGCCGCUGGCGUGCCGUCGGAGCUGAACGAUGCGCGCACGUUCACGCAGGACAAGUUCUGGGCUUUGGUGAUGGCCCACCGCGAUGCGGGUACGCUGCUUGGCGCCACGGCUGCGAGGAACCACUCAUCUACGCCGCCGGAGAGCUCGCCGCCGCUCUAUCCCUUACGUAGAACUAUGAAGGAGUGGGAGCUGUUCGCUGGCAUGCAACUGACAACCCUCCGUGACGCGCUACGCUCGCCGUGACGCACGCGGUGGUGCCGUCUCCACUUGCAACGACAGUCCGAACGACAAUCCUGAUCACUGUGCACGCGCGACGAGCACAUGGGCGCGCAUCAGCGACCUUACACUCGACCGUAAUGUGCUUUCGCUGGCCAGCGUCGGGUACCUGUGCUGGUCCAUCAUGCGCACCCGAUUCGGCGUGACACGCGGAGGUGCAUCGGCGCUUCCGAUGAUUUUUUUUUUUUCUGAGCCACGCUGCUCCGAGAUGCGCGGGCCCUCUCCUGCCAAGCACCGUGCUCCGCACCCGCUCUUGCACUUCGCAUCCACGGAGUCGAUUUUGUAUAUGCACCGACGCACCUCCCCCAUCCCUCUGUCAUGACGCGGGCCACCGGGCCGUGCGUGUGUGGUGGCAGGCUCUCGGGGUGGUGGUGGCGGACUCUUGGUGUGUGUGGGGGGCAGGUGUCUGGGGGCCGGCGCUGCGCCGGCGAGGCUUGCGGCCAUGAUGCCGCUUGCACCGGCUCGCUACGACUCGUGCCGGCGGUCGAAAGAAGGAGCGCACGGAUGCGCCGGCUACUUGUCUGCCUUCGCUGCGUUGCGGUGGCGCGGGGCGCGAUGCGGGGGCGAGCCUGCGCUGUAUGCGGUGACGUGUUGCGGUGGGCUUGGACGGCGCCAGGCGGUGUUGGUGGGGCCCGGUUUCCUGGGCAUGGCCGUCGCGCACCAGAGGUAGGUGCGCUGUGGGCUGUGCAUGCGCCUCUUCAUUGCGCGGCUCGCGUGCGGAGCACGAACACGUUUGUGGGCUAUGAAGUCAAAAGUGUUCGCGCCUAAUCAUCAGCCAGUGCCGAGAGCAGGCAAGCGACUACAGCACCGUGGCCUUGGCCGGAGCCCUGGCG